rnacentral:rRNA from 1 species
CAGUCGCCGCGGUAAUACGUAGGUGGCAAGCGUUGUCCGGAAUUAUUGGGCGUAAAGGGCUCGCAGGCGGUUUCUUAAGUCUGAUGUGAAAGCCCCCGGCUCAACCGGGGAGGGUCAUAGGAAACUGGGAAACUUGAGUGCAGAAGAGGAGAGUGGAAUUCCACGUGUAGCGGUGAAAUGCGUAGAGAUGUGGAGGAACACCAGUGGCGAAGGCGACUCUCUGGUCUGUAACUGACGCUGAGGAGCGAAAGCGUGGGGAGCGAACAGGAUUAGAUACCCCAGUAGUCCCUGUCUCUUAUAC